GCGAAACGUCGAUUUUGCGGGGGAAGUCAUUGCAUAAAUGAAGCUGAAUUUCCUCAAUAGAUAUCUGUGUAACGCUGGUCAAAUCAUCCUCAGAUAUCAAGGUGGCCCUUGGAGUUCUUUUGUCGAAGUGGCUUCUGGUCAUUAUUUUGAUUUUGCAAGCUGAUGAAACAACAUCUGACCCCGG